GGAAGUAAAAGUCGUAACAAGGUUUCCGUAGGUGAACCUGCGGAAGGAUCAUUACCUAGAGUUUGCAGACUUCGGUCUGCUACCUCUUACCCAUGUCUUUUGAGUACCUUCGUUUCCUCGGCGGGUCCGCCCGCCGGUUGGACAACAUUCAAACCCUUUGCAGUUGCAAUCAGCGUCUGAAAAAACUUAAUAGUUACAACUUUCAACAACGGAUCUCUUGGUUCUGGCAUCGAUGAAGAACGCAGCGAAAUGCGAUAAGUAGUGUGAAUUGCAGAAUUCAGUGAAUCAUCGAAUCUUUGAACGCACAUUGCGCCCCUUGGUAUUCCAUGGGGCAUGCCUGUUCGAGCGUCAUUUGUACCUUCAAGCUCUGCUUGGUGUUGGGUGUUUUGUCUCGCCUCCGCGCGCAGACUCGCCUUAAAACAAUUGGCAGCCGGCGUAUUGAUUUCGGAGCGCAGUACAUCUCGCGCUUUGCACUCAUAACGACGACGUCCAAAAGUACAUUUUUACACUCUUGACCUCGGAUCAGGUAGGGAUACCCGCUGAACUUAAGC
rnacentral:rRNA from 1 species